GGGAUAACGUCCGGAAACGGGCGCUAAUACCGCAUACGUCCUGAGGGAGAAAGUGGGGGAUCUUCGGACCUCACGCUAUCAGAUGAGCCUAGGUCGGAUUAGCUAGUUGGUGGGGUAAAGGCCUACCAAGGCGACGAUCCGUAACUGGUCUGAGAGGAUGAUCAGUCACACUGGAACUGAGACACGGUCCAGACUCCUACGGGAGGCAGCAGUGGGGAAUAUUGGACAAUGGGCGAAAGCCUGAUCCAGCCAUGCCGCGUGUGUGAAGAAGGUCUUCGGAUUGUAAAGCACUUUAAGUUGGGAGGAAGGGCAGUAAGUUAAUACCUUGCUGUUUUGACGUUACCAACAGAAUAAGCACCGGCUAACUUCGUGCCAGCAGCCGCGGUAAUACGAAGGGUGCAAGCGUUAAUCGGA
rnacentral:rRNA from 1 species